rnacentral:rRNA from 1 species
CUCCCGCGGCGGGCGGGAAGGGGGACGGGGGCUCCUUUAAAAGGAGAGUGGGGAAUAUUGCACAAUGGGCGCAAGCCUGAUGCAGCGACGCCGGGUGAGGGAUGGAGGCCUUCGGGUUGUAAACCUCUUUUGUUUGGGAGCAAGCCUUUGGGUGAGUGAACCUUUCGAAUAAGCGCCGGUUAACUACGUGUCAGCAG